GCAUGGAUAGCUCAGUCGGUAGAGCGACGGCCUGCGGAUUGGGGGUUUUGCCCAAAGCCGUGCGUCGGUGGUUCAACUCCACCUCCGUGCACCA
rnacentral:tRNA from 1 species